rnacentral:rRNA from 1 species
UAAGGAAUAUUGGUCAAUGGACGCAAGUCUGAACCAGCCAUGCCGCGUGGAGGAUGAAGGUCCUCUGGAUUGUAAACUUCUUUUAUCUGGGACGAAACACUUCUUUUCUAAGAGGCCUGACGGUACCAGAUGAAUAAGCACCGGCUAACUCCGUGCCAGCAGCCGCGGUAAUACGGAGGGUGCAAGCGUUAUUCGGAUUUACUGGGUUUAAAGGGUGCGUAGGUGGGCUUAUAAGUCAGUGGUGAAAUCUCCGAGCUUAACUUGGAAACUGCCGUUGAUACUAUAGGUCUUGAACUAUCUGGAGGUAAGCGGAAUAUGUCAUGUAGCGGUGAAAUGCUUAGAUAUGACAUAGAACACCAAUUGCGAAGGCAGCUUACUACAUAUAAAUUGACGCUGAGGCACGAAAGCGUGGGGAUCAAACA